GACGAACGCUGGCGGCGUGCUUAACACAUGCAAGUCGAACGAUGAAGCCGGAGCUUGCUCCGGUGGAUCAGUGGCGAACGGGUGAGUAACACGUGAGCAAUCUGCCCUUGACUCUGGGAUAACUGCGGAAACUGUGGCUAAUACCGGAUACGACACCUUGGGGCAUCCCAGGGUGUGGAAAGAAUUUCGGUCAAGGAUGAGCUCGCGGCCUAUCAGCUAGUUGGUGAGGUAAUGGCUCACCAAGGCGACGACGGGUAGCCGGCCUGAGAGGGUGACCGGCCACACUGGAACUGAGACACGGUCCAGACUCAGACGGGAGGCAGCAGUGGGGAAUAGUGCACAAUGGGCGAAAGCCUGAUGCAGCAACGCCGCGUGAGGGAUGAAGGCCUUCGGGUUGUAAACCUCUUUUAGCAGGGAAGAAGCGAAAGUGACGGUACCUGCAGAAAAAGCACCGGCUAACUACGUGCCAGCCGCCGCCGUAA
rnacentral:rRNA from 1 species